rnacentral:rRNA from 1 species
GGNGAGCUGGCGGCGUGCCUACACAUGCAAGUCGAGGGAGAAAGUCUUCUGACUUCGGUCAGACGGCUGGAAACCGGCGCACGGGUGCGUAACACGUAGGCAACCUACCCUUUGGACGGGGAUAACCUCGGGAAACCGGGACUAAUACCCGACGAUGCAACGGCACCGCAUGGUGAUGUUGUUAAAUCUCUUCGGGGGCCAAGGGAUGGGCCUGCGGCCCAUUAGCUAGUUGGCGGGGUAAAAGCCCACCAAGGCAACGAUGGGUAGCUGGUCUGAGAGGAUGACCAGCCACACUGGAACUGAGACACGGUCCAGACUCCUACGGGAGGCAGCAGUGAGGAAUAUUGCGCAAUGCCCGAAAGGGUGACGCAGCGACGCCGCGUGGAGGAUGAAGUUCGUAAGGAUGUAAACUCCUGUUGAGAGGGAAGAACAGCCCCGCUUGUCGGGGUCUGACGGUACCUUUCGAGGAAGGCCCGGCUAACUACGUGCCAGCAGCCGCGGUAAUACGUAGGGGCCAAGCGUUGUCCGGAUUUACUGGGUGUAAAGGGUCCGCAGGCGGGCUUGUUAGUCAGUGGUGAAAUCUUCCGGCUUAACCGGGAAACUGCUACUGAAACUGCAAGCCUUGAGUCCGGGAGAGGGUGGUGGAAUUCAUGGUGUAGCGGUGAAAUGCGUAGAUAUCAUGAAGAACACCGGUGGCGAAGGCGGCCACCUGGCCCGAGACUGACGCUCAGGGACGAAAGCGUGGGUAGCAAACAGGAUUAGAUACCCUGGUAGUCCACGCUGUAAACGAUGGGUACUCGGUGUUGGUUCGCAAGGAUCAGUGCCA